UACGUAGGGGGCGAGCGUUGUCCGGAUUUAUUGGGCGUAAAGAGCGUGUAGGCGGCCAGGUAGGUCUGCUGUGAAAACUCGAGGCUCAACCUCGAGACGUCGGCGGAAACCAUCUGGCUAGAGUCCGGAAGAGGAGAGUGGAAUUCCUGGUGUAGCGGUGGAAUGCGCAGAUAUCAGGAGGAACACCAAUAGCGAAGGCAGCUCGCUGGGACGGUACUGACGCUAAGGCGCGAAAGCGUGGGGAGCGAACAGG
rnacentral:rRNA from 1 species